GUGAAAGCGUUGACGAGGAUAAGUAGUCAGCGGGGACAGCAUCCACAGAGAGCCGGGGGAGCUGGGAACCGGUGAUGCUGCCGCUUGACGAACUCACCUCUGAGCGCCAGCCUGAACGUCAUAUGGCUAGUAGGGUUGGACGGGUGGAGAACAAUUGCUUCACUCGUUACUAAAAAGAGCGGUUGGCUGAUUUGCCAAUCGCUCAUGAGGUGGUCGUAAUGGCCACGAAGAAGGGUGGUACCGCGAAAAGUGAACCUUUUCGCCCCUUUG
rnacentral:ncRNA from 1 species